CUACGGGCUGCUCCAGUGGGGAAUAUUGGACAAUGGGGGAAACCCUGAUCCAGCAAUGCCGCGUGUGUGAAGAAGGCCUGCGGGUUGUAAAGCACUUUCGGUUGGGAGGACUGCUUCUAGCACUAAUAUUGUUGGAAGUUGACGUUACCUUCAGAAGAAGCACCGGCUAACUCCGUGCCAGCAGCCGCGGUAAUACGGAUGGUGCAAGCGUUAAUCGGAAUUACUGGGCGUAAAGCGCGCGUAGGCGGCUAGAUCAGUCGGGUGUGAAAGCCCCGGGCUUAACCUGGGAACUGCAUCCGAUACUGUCUAGCUUGAGUACAGGAGAGGAGAGUGGAAUUCCACGUGUAGCGGUGAAAUGCGUAGAUAUGUGGAGGAACACCAAUGGCGAAGGCAGCUCUCUGGCCUGAUACUGACGCUGAGGUGCGAAAGCGUGGGGAGCAAACAGGAUUAGAUACCCCGGUAGUC
rnacentral:rRNA from 1 species